CUUUCAGACAAGCGGCUUCUGAACCGAAUCCUCCCAUUCGUGGAUUUCAUCCACUCUAUGGCACUGAAGUUCCCCAACCGAAGGGGAACCCAUCUCAACAGUGACUAUGACUAUGAAAACAUGCUUUCGGAAUCCUCGGAAGGGGAUCUACAUUAUGAGAACGAUUGCCCACGCGUUACUGCAGGCUUGGUUGGAUGAGUAUCAAACUUUUUUAUUUUAUUUGAGAGUGUGCCAUAUUUUUGCUUUUAUGUUAUUCCUGUUUUGUGGAAAGUAAGGGAGAUAGCGUAUAACAUGUAUUUUAUUUCUUUGUUUUCAAGUGUAGACAGACUAUUAGAAUGCUGAAUAGUGUAGGCAGGUAGUUAGAGGAUGUUUUGUUUUAUUAUUUUGGCAUUUAGACUCUUUUUCAUAAAUGCACCAAAAAUUAUUCAUACUCAAUGCAAGUCAUUUUAUGUUGUUUUCUAUUUUCUUUUCUAUUUUUCUUCUCUUGUUCUUUUUUUUUAUCAGAAUGACACACAUGAAAAGAGGUUUUAAGCUGGUCAUUAUCUGUGCUACAAGACAAAGCAAACAGAAGGACCUGUAAUGAACAAUAUCUACCAUGUAAUCUACAAUAUUACCAUUUCAUGAAUAUGAUAUAUAAUAUUUUUGGUAAUAAAAUGGACCUUUAUCGAAGCUGCCGGGAUCACAUUUAAUGUAUUACUCACAGGGAAAGAGGACUUGAACUGAGUGCUUUAUGGAAGUUGUGGAACUAACGAUCAUCUCAAAGCUGGCGGAUGCUGCAAGAGUAGGCUCUACUGGUGGCUUAAAAGCCCGCUGCUUGCUCCAACACCCGACAGUACUCAGUAGUACCUCUGGCAACGUGGGACCUAUUACCUCAAACUCGUGUUCCUUUUAGGAGGCGCCGUGAAUGUUAUUUUAUACUAAGGGGUUCAUUUCUUUUUACAUAUAUCUUCUUUUGGAUUUAAUCAAGUAUGAAACGUAUAUUUUAUUCUUACUGCAAGGCUGAACUCAACAAACGCAUUCAUUUAUGUGCUUUAUUUAUCAUUUGUAUUGUCUGUAUUGUUUGUAUUAAAUGUGGUUUGUAUUCCCCCGGAUUGAUUAUUAGAUAAGGGGGGGCGGGAUCUUUUACUCCCUUCUAGUCAAAUGAGGAGGGAGAUGUUUGGUUCCGCCUCUCCACUGGAGUGCAACAUAAUGAUUCUGACAUUUGGUAAAGACUGUGAAGGGCAACUUUUUGUUGCAUUAGUGAGGUUGAUUGGACUGAUAUGUUGGUACCUUAUGCUGCAAUCCGGUUGAGGGUUAGGAGAGGGACUUUCUUCUGAUAAGAGUCCCUCUAAGGGGGGAUUUGUUGGGGAAUUCAUUGUGUCUUGAUGAAUUUCUGAUGAAUGUAUUACUCUCAUUUAUAUGCUUAUUUGAGUGAUAUCCAUAUUAUAUUAUUAUUAUUAUUUAUUGUAUUAUUACCCAUACCUGUGGCAUUAUUAUGAGGUAUGUGUGCUUUGGUUAAUAAAAAAAGUAAUUCUGUGCAAAUGCAGUCAGAGAUAAGAAGAUAAAUUAGAAGAGCAGCAUUAAUGUCACAAUGAGGGUUGAUUUAUGGAAGCAAGGCCAAAAGGAAACCUGCGUUCUGUUCUGUAACUCAUGAUAAAGUGCACCUGCACAUGCGCCCACACUCAUUUGUACUGACAUCAAAAAUGUAUGACCACUUAUGAACUUCAGCUGAACUUACAGUUGACAGCUCAGCAGACAGUGAACAAGAUAUAUUGUCGAGCAUUGUUUUUUGGAUGAAUCAUCACUUUUGAAACAGGAAGGAAAGACCUUAAUUGGACAUGGGUAAGACACCUGAAAGACCCUGAGAUUCUAUUGGUGGCGGGCACCUGAGAGAUUUAAGAUCCUAUCAGCGGAGAAGCUGAUGGAGGUGUGUAAUGUGUAGAUUUGGGUGGAGCAUUAAGACACAGAAAUGUAUUUAAACUGUGUGCAAGCUUAUGUUCGGCGGACACUUGAACGACCUGUCUCUGUUGAUACUGAUGCUGUAACAAUAAACUGCUUCGUCUAAAGACUUCGGAGAUCUCAGACUUUUGAAAAGUUUGACUUAGAGACUUAGAAUAUUUUUGCAGACCAGAAUCUUUUUUUUCCACAACAGGUUUCCCACACCAUCAUUUCUUAUGUGAGAAGAAUGCGCAUGGAUACAUUUUGAAUGGAUUGCCUUGACAUUGUGAUUGUACAGCUCUGACCCCCGUGCUGGAUGCAUCGACUUCAACUAUAAAUGACUUCUGCUAGAUCACAGAGGACUGCUUCACCAUGGACCCCCACAGCAUACAGCCGGUCAGUUGCUUGAAGAAGCUAAGAUAAAGGAAGACCCUAGCAUACUUGUGCAUAUUAAAGUCAAAAACAAUGCAUUAGGUUCUUGACAAAGUCUACAGGAACAGUUACACAGGCAUCAGAAGAACAAAAUGAGCCAACCUACGAUGUUAGCUAUGAGAUCUUCUCUGAGAGAGUCAUCCACCAUCAAAUAAUUGUAAACCAAGGGGUGUCGACGAUGACACGGCUAAGAAGAAUAUGGUAAAGAGCCAUGAAGAUCUCGAUGCUUCAAACUACAUGCAGGAUAAAUUAAAGUGGAGGCUGUCCCAUGAUUUCCCCCAGCUGGUGUUUCAUUCUUCUAACCAGCGCAACAUCAAUGAAUUGGUUUUUCUUGAGACCCUUUCUGCAGAUUAGAAGAACCAAUACCUCAUCUGAUAGAAACUAUACCUCACCCAUCAGGUACAAAAACAACUGAGUCAACAGACAUAACUAGCCAAAGUAUUGGUGAAAGCACAGCAAGUAGAAUAGCUUGUACUGCAGAGAACACAAGGACACUUCAUUCUGUGGCAUUGAUACUGAAGAGAAUUGUAGAUGACUCUCCUUGAAUGACAUGUCCAUGGCCAGCCACGUCUGAUGAUUUAAAUAUUAGGGCAGCAAAAUCUGUUGUGCCAUUUGAACUGUUUAACCUAAUUUCAUGGAUUAUUGGUCCAACCUAAGAACCAACACUGGCUCAUUGUGUUGAUAUUCCAGAUGAUUUGAACCUAAAAGUGAUCUCCAUUUGCCACGACCAUCAUUAAUCUUGCGUCUAAGGGCCCGGUGGCAGACACCUAAAUCACUGUUUCUGGGUGUAGCUGUUUGGUAAGAAAGGAUCAUAUAGUGCUAGUCUUUAAUCAAACUAUAUAUGCCAAAGCUUGAAGUCAUUGAAUUAGGUGAGUUUUCUGGGCAUUCUGGGGAAAAGGUUUGGAGAUGCAGCACUGCAAGAUAUACUCAUUGAUUCAGAAGUUGUUGCGCUAGGAUGUAUCAAUGAAGUGAUGAGUGGUCAUCACUAUAACCACAGCAUGAGGGCACACAAACAUCUGUAUGAGAGUCUGCAGCUCAUCAGAUUUUUCAGUUUCUUAGACUUAUUGCCACCAGAAGACUGAGAUGAGUGUAUGACUGUCAUAAGUGAGAUCACAUGUGCAUUCCAGAACAGGACAAUGGAUAUUUUGUAUAAAAAUGAAAAAAAAUGUCAAAAUGUGUGUUAAAAAAGUAGCUUUCAGGUUCUGAUGAUAGUGAUAAGCAUAGUAGUGAUGAGUAAAAAUGAUUUUUGUCACAUGUUAGUUCAAUUUGAGCUGUAAUUAAGUUUCUGUAAAAUUUGUACAUUUUUGGCGUUAUUGAAAAAUUUGUGCAGCAGACCAGCAUUUCAUGUCAUUUUAGCUAACUUGGACCAAAAUUGAUUUUAUUUUUAACUUUGUGUGAUACCUAAAUGCUUACUGAACAUUUUUGAAAAAUAAAACAUAACAAACAUGUUUAAGUUCAAAUAUCUUCUUCAGUUUUAUUUGGUGCCAAUCCGUGAAGUUAUGGUGGGUUGUAAAAAAAAAAAAAAAAAAAAAAAAAGCUUAAUUUCAUGGUCUUCAUUUAAAAUUGAGUAAAUUAAUGCACUAGUACUUGUCUCAUAUAUGUAGCUACAUGUAUAAAAGUGGAUUUGACACACAUUGUGUGUUGCUAAAAUGCAUAUUAAUAAAGUUACAGGCCAAACUAAGAGCAUAAGAUUAUCGUUUUUUUGUAAAUUCCUAAUUAUACAUAUUUAUGCAUCUUGACAAAAAACUGAAGUAUUUUUUAUGGAGAACUUUUAACAUAACUUCCGUAAGGGUGCUCUUUAUAAAGAAAUGCAUUAAAAAAGUAGUGCCCAGAUGUGGGAAUGAAAAUAGCUUUCUAGCCACUUUUUCUAGGUUCACCUUAUGGCCUAACAGGGUAAAUCUGCUCUUUUUUUUGGCUUUGUGGCUGU